rnacentral:lncRNA from 1 species
UAAGACUUAAAAAAAAUUCAUAAAUUAAUACAACACAUAACCUUAUUACAGCUGAUAAGAACAAAGUACCAUCUACAUAAUCCAGAAUACAACACUGAACUAAACUAGAAAAGCUGAUUUGGUUCCAUCUAUUUAACAUCGUGGAGGCUCUAGCUAUCCGCUGACCCCUUGCCAGAAAUCCUAGCCUUUCCCGCUAUGGAAGGCUCUGCAUAAAACAACAAACAAAAGGGCGUGAGAACUAUUAAACAAUAGUUCCCA